CUUCCAAUGGACAAGGUACAUGUACCUCGUCCAGCGGAAGGGUUUCCUUCCAAUGGACGAGGUACAUGGAAGGAAACCCUUCCGCUGGACGAGGUACAUGUACCUUGUCCAUUGGAAG
rnacentral:miRNA from 1 species